UUGAUUGAGAGGAAACUAAAUACAACACCUUUGCACCUUACGUUCACCCAGAUUAAGUCUCGUUUAACUAGCAAAAGUGGAGUUGGACAUGCCAUAAAGGCACUAAACCAUGCACUGUAGAGCAUUUAAAUAGGGCAGAAGUUCUUUUUUCAUUCUUCCCAUGACAAUUUCUGUCACUUUUGAUGUAUACAAACAAAUGCAACUCCACCAAUGACUCAUUGUACUACUGAUUUAUAGCGUGCUCAUAUGCAUAUAUUUAUUGUGUCCAGACUACAAAGACAUGUAAAAGUAUGUCUAAAUCAAACUGACCACAUUGUGCAAUACAGAAUACAGUAGCCUGUUGUUUCAUUAGCACUCUAGACGCUGAUCAUUUCCCUUGUCUAUGAUCUCCUGAGCUUCAUCUCUCUCCAGUCCUCCCCACUCUUUAAUUAGCAUUCCUCCACAGCUUCACUUCCUUCAUACCUCUAUACUCCCCAUUCUUAUCGGCUCGCACUUCUUCCAACCAACAUUUCCUCCCCUCCUCUUCAAAACUGACCACAUGUAAGCCCAUGUGGGGAGAAAAACGUAGUAUAAAGUUGAAACAGCAAGAAAAAUCAAAAGUAAUGGGGAGAAUGCAAGAGAUGCUGCAAAACAAAAGAAAACAAAUGACUAUGUUUGAGUUGGAAUGAGUGGAUGGACAUAGCAGAAACCAGGCUGUCAAGGAAAGUAGAAAUGCAGAUAUAAGGAGAAAGCAUUCUUUUGUCACAUAGUAUAAUACAAUUUUGAACCUGUGUAUACCUGAAAUGUAGAUUAGGGGAAGUCGAAUGCUCUUCAAACGGACAUGUCUCGGAUUCACUAAAGGACACUAAACAUACAUACAUGAGAUCAGAGUUCCCCUCUGUCUUUGAAGGCUGGUCAUGACUUUACCUGAUUAUGAAACUCAGGAUACAUGUGCUGCCCUCUGGCCUUUUUCUGUAACUGUAGCCGUCUGUGCUCCUUUACUUUUCAUCCUGUCACAGAUGGCUCACGUCAUAACUUCAGCCUCUUGCCUCGUGAGCUUCAUAAUGGGAUACGACGAGCCAUCAAUCAGCAGUCGAAUCUACUAAAGUCACCAGGGGGAAGAGAAGGAAAUGAGGCAGGCAGAGGGUAGAUCACAGCUGACCAGUAAUCUGCAGGAGUUUAACCUCUGAUUGAAGCCACUGAGAGCUAGAGCCAAAGAAGAGUGGAUUUUGGACAUUUGUCACGUUGUCAGAAACAUAACUUCAAAUGGAUCCUAAUGUUUCAUCUGUUCGCUGGCACGUUCACCACAACAACUUAAAAAGCUGUGUCAAGUCUCGGCCAAUCCAGACAGCUGUGAAGGAUCAGUUUGACCAUUCAGUGAAGCACUCAUCACCAUGACUCUCCUCAGGGGAAAGAUUUGGACGGAGGGGAAAUAGACGUGAAGCAAGAGAGACAGAGUGAUGAACACAUCUACGACACACAAACAAUGCCAAGGUUUGAAUGGGUGAUGAAAGCGCUUCACUCUCCUGGCACUCUCAUUAUCACUUCGUCCUUCACAUCCGGAUAACGCAGAGAAAGAGUGAGAGAGAGGGGAGGAGGAAGAGAAAGGUGGUCUGCUGACCCUGCCGUAAAACUUUUGCAUCCUACAGAUGUGGAAUGUGGAACUUCCUCUCUCUGUCUCGCUCCUUACAGGGUUUCCUGUAUCCACAGAGAGUGUGUACUGUAAAGUUGGUCUGGUAAAUUCUCAGUGCAUGCCAAAGUACAGUUUCUAGACCAUUCCUUUCUUCACCUCUGUAUCUUUUAAGAUUGCCUCCCUCAGGAGCUGCUGUUACUGGUAGGAAUUUAUAAGAGUCCAUUUCAGUCCUUGAGUUUACCACAUCACACAGCCGAACUGAGACAUUUAUAGUUCCUAUGAGCCCUUUUUACAAGAUAAGAAAAACAAAUGAAACGGUUCAGCUUAUGCUCUGGAAAGUCUUUGAAAUGUCCAAAAGGUAGCAUAACUUUAACCUAUCAUAUAAUAUAUGAUAUUCUAUAGAUCCUUUAUUAUCACGACAUCAUUCUCGCAGGGAUGUGGUCGGGGUGGCAGGCAUACUUAGCACAGGACUGUGAGACUGGGAUUUGCAUCCAGAGUCCAGAGUUUAGGCUUGGGUGGUUUUGGUUGGGGAAAGACUGUGAUUUCAGUCAAAUAUUAAUAAAUCAAUAUGGAUUUUCUGUAUUAAAUCAGACUAAC